UACGGAGGGGGCUAGCGUUGUUCGGAAUUACUGGGCGUAAAGCGCACGUAGUCGGCUUUGCAAGUCGGGUGUGAAAUCCCCGGGCUCAACCUGGGAACUGCAUCCGAGACUGCAUUGCUAGAGUAUGGGAGAGGGAAGCGGAAUUUCUGGUGUAGCAGUGAAAUGCGUAGAUAUCAGAAGGAACAUCAGUGGCGAAGGCGGCUUCCUGGACCAAUACUGACGAUCAGGUGCGAAAGCCAGGGGAGCAAACGGG
rnacentral:rRNA from 1 species